rnacentral:rRNA from 1 species
GGGACACGUGGUAUCCUGUCUGAAUAUGGGGGGACCAUCCUCCAAGGCUAAAUACUCCUGACUGACCGAUAGUGAACCAGUACCGUGAGGGAAAGGCGAAAAGAACCCCGGCGAGGGGAGUGAAAAAGAACCUGAAACCGUGUACGUACAAGCAGUGGGAGCACGCUUAGGCGUGUGACUGCGUACCUUUUGUAUAAUGGGUCAGCGACUUAUAUUCUGUAGCAAGGUUAACCGAAUAGGGGAGCCGAAGGGAAACCGAGUCUUAACUGGGCGUUAAGUUGCAGGGUAUAGACCCGAAACCCGGUGAUCUAGCCAUGGGCAGGUUGAAGGUUGGGUAACACUAACUGGAGGACCGAACCGACUAAUGUUGAAAAAUUAGCGGAUGACUUGUGGCUGGGGGUGAAAGGCCAAUCAAACCGGGAGAUAGCUGGUUCUCCCCGAAAGCUAUUUAGGUAGCGCCUCGUGAAUUCAUCUCCGGGGGUAGAGCACUGUUUCGGCAAGGGGGUCAUCCCGACUUACCAACCCGAUGCAAACUGCGAAUACCGGAGAAUGUUAUCACGGGAGACACACGGCGGGUGCUAACGUCCGUCGUGAAGAGGGAAACAACCCAGACCGCCAGCUAAGGUCCCAAAGUCAUGGUUAAGUGGGAAACGAUGUGGGAAGGCCCAGACAGCCAGGAUGUUGGCUUAGAAGCAGCCAUCAUUUAAAGAAAGCGUAAUAGCUCACUGGUCGAGUCGGCCUGCGCGGAAGAUGUAACGGGGCUAAACCAUGCACCGAAGCUGCGGCAGCGACGCUUAUGCGUUGUUGGGUAGGGGAGCGUUCUGUAAGCCUGUGAAGGUGUACUGUGAGGUAUGCUGGAGGUAUCAGAAGUGCGAAUGCUGACAUAAGUAACGAUAAAGCGGGUGAAAAGCCCGCUCGCCGGAAGACCAAGGGUUCCUGUCCAACGUUAAUCGGGGCAGGGUGAGUCGACCCCUAAGGCGAGGCCGAAAGGCGUAGUCGAUGGGAAACAGGUUAAUAUUCCUGUACUUGGUGUUACUGCGAAGGGGGGACGGAGAAGGCUAUGUUGGCCGGGCGACGGUUGUCCCGGUUUAAGCGUGUAGGCUGGUUUUCCAGGCAAAUCCGGAAAAUCAAGGCUGAGGCGUGAUGACGAGGCACUACGGUGCUGAAGCAACAAAUGCCCUGCUUCCAGGAAAAGCCUCUAAGCAUCAGGUAACAUCAAAUCGUACCCCAAACCGACACAGGUGGUCAGGUAGAGAAUACCAAGGCGCUUGAGAGAACUCGGGUGAAGGAACUAGGCAAAAUGGUGCCGUAACUUCGGGAGAAGGCACGCUGAUAUGUAGGUGAAGUCCCUCGCGGAUGGAGCUGAAAUCAGUCGAAGAUACCAGCUGGCUGCAACUGUUUAUUAAAAACACAGCACUGUGCAAACACGAAAGUGGACGUAUACGGUGUGACGCCUGCCCGGUGC